rnacentral:rRNA from 1 species
AGAGCGAACGCUGGCGGCAGGCCUAAUACAUGCAAGUCGAACGAGCCCUUCGGGGUUAGUGGCGGACGGGUGAGUAACACGUGGGAACGUGCCUUUUGGUUCGGAACAACUCAGGGAAACUUGAGCUAAUACCGAAUGUGCCCUUCGGGGGAAAGAUUUAUCGCCAUUAGAGCGGCCCGCGUCUGAUUAGCUAGUUGGUGAGGUAAAGGCCCACCAAGGCUACGAUCAGUAGCUGGUCUGAGAGGAUGAUCAGCCACACUGGGACUGAGACACGGCCCAGACUCCUACGGGAGGCAGCAGUAGGGAAUCUUGCGCAAUGGGCGAAAGCCUGACGCAGCCAUGCCGCGUGAAUGAUGAAGGUCUUAGGAUUGUAAAAUUCUUUCAGCGGGGACGAUAAUGACGGUACCCGCAGAAGAAGCCCCGGCUAACUUCGUGCCAGCAGCCGC